rnacentral:rRNA from 1 species
ACGUACACUCCUGCGGGAGGCAGCAGUGGGGAAUAUUGCACAAUGGGCGCAAGCCUGAUGCAGCCAUGCCGCGUGUAUGAAGAAGGCCUUCGGGUUGUAAAGUACUUUCAGCGGGGAGGAAGGCGAUAAGGUUAAUAACCUUGUCGAUUGACGUUACCCGCAGAAGAAGCACCGGCUAACUCCGUGCCAGCAGCCGCGGUAAUACGGAGGGUUCAAGCGUUAAUCGGAAUUACUGGGCGUAAAGCGCACGCAGGCGGUCUGUCAAGUCGGAUGUGAAAUCCCCGGGCUCAACCUGGGAACUGCAUUCGAAACUGGCAGGCUAGAGUCUUGUAGAGGGGGGUAGAAUUCCAGGUGUAGCGGUGAAAUGCGUAGAGAUCUGGAGGAAUACCGGUGGCGAAGGCGGCCCCCUGGACAAAGACUGACGCUCAGGUGCGAAAGCGUGGGGAGCAAACAGGAUUAGAUACCCCGGUAGUCCCAU